GGAGAAAGUAUUUAUUUAUUUUUCGAAGGCGGCCUGAGAGACUCUGGGGCAGGCGCAGUGUGAGGCCACGGAGGCGGGAGGUCAGCCUGCUGUGAACAGGGAUUAAGCAGACACGGCAGAAUGAGGGGGUUUCCGGAGCAGAGGCUGGAGGCCAUUAGACUGAUCUCCUGACUCCAGGCAGUGUGUCCCCAGCCCCUCCGGAGGAAAGCCUGGGGACUCGUCUCCUUCUGUGCCUAGCUUCAGGAGGAAGGCGGGUUGUUCUAAUGCUCCAUUAGCUGGAGCUGGGACCAUCGCAGAAAGCUACUUCUGUUUUGUAAUCAAAGUACAACGAGCCUAGCCUCCCCCAUCUCUGCAGUUGAACUAGUUGUCAACACCUUUCCAGUCAAUAAUGCUGCCUUUAUACCUCCCAGUCCUAACCUGCUUAGGAGCCCCAGUGGAACUCGAGGGCAACAAUUCUCUUAGAGGUCCCGUGGUCCCGUGGUUUUCGGUCUUGGGUUUGUGGGAGGCUGAGUGGAUGGGACCCCAGACCCUCCCCCACUCCAACUAGAGCAGUUUUGCUUUUAUGUGCUUUAUACAUCGAUAUUCCAGCUCAGAUUUUUCGCCAAAAUACUGAAGAGUCCAUUACUGUAAAGAACCAAAAGCAUUUAAAUAUCCUUGUCCUUGGCCACUCUGUGCAGGGAAAUAACUCAAGGCUCAGACAGAAGAGACUGUGGCCCAGGGUCACAGAAAGCUGGAAAUUGACUGCAAGUCACCUGCUUCCUGGCCCAGAGCUGUCCCUCCACCCUCUGCUGGAGUAACUAGUGUGACUUUGGGACAACCAGAGAGAGAUGGAAAACAGCCCUUUAGGAUGUGAAGAGGCAGGAAGGAGUGUGUGGGUUGGUGUUCUCUGGGCCCUUGUGAGGUUUUUGCUUCAUCCCUCUGAGCUGCACGAGGCCUGUGCAGCGGAGGCGACAGUGAACACCAGGGUGAGGGCAGAGAGGAGAGGACACAGUGUCCUGUCUGAGGUCCUGCUGGUGGGGGUGGGGGGCUCUGCUUUUGGGAC
ensembl:lncRNA